rnacentral:snRNA from 1 species
GUGCUGGCUUUGGACAUACAUAUGCUACAAUUGGAACCACACAGAUGACCAUGAUUCCUGUGCAGGAUGCCGUGCAAAUUCAUGAAGCGUUCCAUAUCUUU